rnacentral:rRNA from 1 species
GUGAGGAAUCUUGCGCAAUGGGGGCAACCCUGACGCAGCAACGCCGCGUGAGUGAGGAAGGUCUUCGGAUUGUAAAGCUCUGUCGGAUGGAAAGAACCGCAUAGAGGUAAACAGCCUCUAUGUCUGACGGUACCAUCAAAGGAAGCACCGGCUAACUCCGUGCCAGCAGCCGCGGUAAUACGGGGGGUGCAAGCGUUGUUCGGAAUUAUUGGGCGUAAAGAGCGUGUAGGCGGCCGGAUGUGUCAGAUGUGAAAGCCCUGGGCUUAACUCAGGAAGUGCAUUUGAAACUGUCCGGCUGGAGUAGGGGAGAGGGAAGUGGAAUUCCUGGUGUAGAGGUGAAAUUCGUAGAUAUCAGGAGGAACACCGGUGGCGAAGGCGACUUCCUGGCCCUAUACUGACGCUGAGACGCGAGAGCGUGGGUAGCAAACAGGAUUAGAUACCCGGGUAGUCC